rnacentral:rRNA from 1 species
UACAGAGGUCUCAAGCGUUGUUCGGAUUCAUUGGGCGUAAAGGGUGCGUAGGCUGCGCGGUAAGUCAGGGGUGAAAUCCUGGAGCUCAACUCCAGAACUGCCCUUGAUACUGGCGGUCUCGAGUCCGGGAGAGGUGAGUGGAACUGCGAGUGUAGAGGUGAAAUUCGUAGAUAUUCGCAAGAACACCAGUGGCGAAGGCGGCUCACUGGCCCGAUACUGACGCUGAGGCACGAAAGCGUGGGGAGCAAACAGG